rnacentral:misc_RNA from 1 species
GGCUUGGACUGAACUCAAACAGAUCAAAUCAAAUCAAACCAAAUUGAAUGAGAACCAAAAUUGAAAUUGAAAUCACCUUUGAGCCGAACCCUUUCUCUAAGGGAUUGUUGUGUAAAAAGUGCAUAACAUCCACUCCAUUUAUUUUAUCAUCACGAAUUAAUUUCAAGAUCGUAGAGUCAAAUUCUCAUCGAUCGGUAUGAGUCAAAGACCAACUAGGCCAGAAACCAUUAGGAACUGAACCCAUCAGGUCCAGUUCCCCCUUUUCCCAAGCCUAGAACCAGCCCGAACUGUGCCUACGCCCAGGGGAGGGGGGAGUGGAGAGUGGGCCAGGAGGGUUGGGAAGAGGCUACAAGAAACCAACUUUCCACCAUAUGGCCAAUAUGUAACCAAAAG